rnacentral:rRNA from 1 species
AUUGAACGCUGGCGGCAUGCCUUACACAUGCAAGUCGAACGGCAGCACGGGAGCAAUCCUGGUGGCGAGUGGCGAACGGGUGAGUAAUAUAUCGGAACGUGCCCAGUCGUGGGGGAUAACGUAGCGAAAGCUACGCUAAUACCGCAUACGAUCUAUGGAUGAAAGCGGGGGAUCGCAAGACCUCGCGCGAUUGGAGCGGCCGAUAUCAGAUUAGGUAGUUGGUGAGGUAAAGGCUCACCAAGCCGACGAUCUGUAGCUGGUCUGAGAGGACGACCAGCCACACUGGGACUGAGACACGGCCCAGACUCCUACGGGAGGCAGCAGUGGGGGAAUUUUUGGACAAUGGGCGCAAGCCUGAUCCAGCAAUGCCGCGUGCAGGAUGAAGGCCUUC